rnacentral:rRNA from 1 species
UACGGGGGGGGCAAGCGUUGUUCGGAAUUACUGGGCGUAAAGGGCUCGUAGGCGGCCAACUAAGUCGGAUGUGAAAUCCCCAGGCUUAACCUGGGAACUGCAUCCGAUACUGGAUGGCUUGAAUCCGGGAGAGGGAUGCAGAAUUCCAGGUGUAGCGGUGAAAUGCGUAGAUAUCUGGAGGAAUACCGGUGGCGAAGGCGGCAUCCUGGACCGGCAUUGACGCUGAUGAGCGAAAGCUAGGGGAGCAAACGAG